rnacentral:lncRNA from 1 species
GGCGGCUCCUGCCUGCACGCUCCUACCCCUGCCCCGGGGGCAGCCCGCGCCUCGGUCCCCUCCCGGCGGCGGGGAAGGGCAGGGCGUCCUCCCUUCGUCCUCGGGAGAGGGCUGCUGACGAGCUGGGGAGCGCCCAUCCCGGCCGGGAAAGAGCACCCGGCUGAAAGUACAGCAGGAGCCUGCAGAGCUGGGGCUGUUCGGUUCCUGGCUGAGCCCUGCGGGUCAAGGUCUGGGCUGGUUUGCCUGUCAGCGGUUCUACAACGUGUGCCCAAGACUGACGUUGUCCGUAUGAAAAUAGUGUGAGGAUAUUAGUGUGGUGAAAGCUCUCAGAUUUCAUGGAGCUUAAUGGUCUAGGAACUGCAUUUGCCCUACAAAAUUGAUCUACGUCCAAAGGGGUUCAGACAGAUCUUAUUCUGACAAGUUUUAGAUGGAACUCAUGAAGAGUCCAUCUCACUGAAAUCACUUAUGCAGAGAAAUGCCUCAAAGGAUUCAAUUUACGAGAUGGGAAGAAAAACUGACUGCAAAAAUGAGAUGCUUUUGAAUAGAGCAUGAAAUGCUGCCUCUUCUCAGGUGGAGGGUGGCAAACUACCAUCCGUGAUGCGCAUGUGACUAGACUCUUGCAAAAUGGCAUUGCAGGUAUGAGGAGCUGAAGCAUUUUCUACAUCACUUGGCUUGGAGUUUUUUUAAACAGAUAUGCAGCACAGUUUCUUAUUUUAUUCAAACGGUGUUUCAACAUGUCUAAUACAAGUCGCACAAAUACCAGUUAGUGUGUGGGUGUCUAACCUUUUGGUUUGCCUGGGCUGCAUUGGGUGAAGAAUUAUCUUGGGCUGCAUAUACGUAGGUCACUCUGAAAGUAAGGGCUCCUUUUUAUUUCCAUGGGAACUACAAAAGAUACA